UCCAAUUAUCAGCCCUCAAGGGUGAAGAGGGCAGAGGUGUUUCCAUGAAGUAUAGCAUUUUUCUGUGUGUGCGCUUUUUUAUGUUUAUUCCUGUUUAAUAAAGUACAAUUUCUUGCAGGUUGAAAGUGGCCGUAGAUUUCGCAUCCUCCGAUCUUGGGAUCAAAAUGGGUAUCGUGUUGCACAGGUUGAAUGGUUACAGGAUGGUCCACCGAAAAGGAGAGCACAAUUACAGGAUAAUACAAAUAAUGCAGCAGAAUAUGCUUAAUCAUGGUUAAGGAGGGCAAAGGAAUCUGCUAGACGAGAUCGAAGAUGACUUGAGAAACCAUACAACGUAGAAGUGAUGAUGCCCACACCACUGGAUCCAGAGCGCUUCAGUUUCUGGCUUGCUACAUUAUCAGACAGGAAGCCUUAUGAAAAACUGGAGCUCCUGCGCAUAAAGGAUACAGAAGAGAGGAUAAAACGAGGAUUGGUAUAUCUUAGAGCGGCAGAACAGGGCUGCAGGGUGCAAUAAUAAAAUUUGUAUUUGUAAAUUGAAUGCUCCAUAAGAUAUCAAAAUUUAUAAUCAGCAUUCUUUGAUCCACGUGAUUGUGGAUCCUAUGACCACAGAAAGAUGAUUCCGUAAA